rnacentral:rRNA from 1 species
CCAAUAAGCGGAGGAAAAGAAACCAACAGGGAUUGCCCUAGUAACGGCGAGUGAAGCGGCAACAGCUCAAAUUUGAAAUCUGGCUUCGGCCCGAGUUGUAAUUUGCAGAGGAUGUUUAUGGUGCGGUACCUUCCGAGUUCCCUGGAACGGGACGCCACAGAGGGUGAGAGCCCCGUCUGGUUGGAUACCAAACCUGUGUUAAACUCCUUCAACGAGUCGAGUAGUUUGGGAAUGCUGCUCUAAAUGGGAGGUAAAUCUCUUCUAAAGCUAAAUACCGGCCAGAGACCGAUAGCGCACAAGUAGAGUGAUCGAAAGAUGAAAAGCACCUUGAAAAGGGGGUUAAACAGUACGUGAAAUUGUUGAAAGGGAAGCGUUUAUGACCAGACUUGUGUCGUGUGGCUCAUCCGAGGUUCUCCCCGGUGCACUCCACACGGCUCAGGCCAACAUCGGUUCUCGUUGGGGGAUAAGAACAGUAGGAACGUGGCCCCUCUCGGGGGGUGUUAUAGCCUAUUGUACGAUACUCUGACGGGGACCGAGGACCGCGCUUCGGCUAGGAUGUUGGCGUAAUGGUCAUUAGCGACCCGUCUUGAAACACGGACCAAGGAGUCGUCCAUUAGAGCGAGCGUUUGGGUGUAAAACCCGCACGCGUAAUGAAAGUGAAAUUAGGUGAGAGCUUCGGCGCAUCAUCGACCGAUCCUGAAGUUUACGGAUGGAUUUGAGUAAGAGUUUUAACGGACGGACCCGAAAGACAGUGAACUAUGCUUGAAUAGGGUGAAGCCAGAGGAAACUCUGGUGGAGGCUCGCAGCGGUUCUGACGUGCAAAUCGAUCGUCAAAUUUGAGCAUGGGGGGCGAAAGACUAAUCGAACUGUCUAGUAGCUGGUUACCGCC